AUUGAACGCUGGCGGCAGGCCUAACACAUGCAAGUCGAGCGGAUGAAGGGAGCUUGCUCCUGGAUUCAGCGGCGGACGGGUGAGUAAUGCCUAGGAAUCUGCCUGUUAGUGGGGGAUAACGUCCGGAAACGGGCGCUAAUACCGCAUACGUCCUGAGGGAGAAAGGGGGGGAUCUUCGGACCUCCCGCUAUCAGAUGAGCCUAGGUCGGAUUAGCGAGUUGGUGGGGUAAAGGCCUACCAAGGCGACGAUCCGUAACUGGUCUGAGAGGAGGAUCAGUCACACUGGGACUGAGACACGGUCCAGACUCCUACGGGAGGCAGCAGUGGGGAAUAUUGGACAAUGGGCGAAAGCCUGAUCCAGCCAUGCCGCGUGUGUGAAGAAGGUCUUCGGAUUGUAAAGCACUUUAAGUUGGGAGGAAGGGCAGUAAGUUAAUACCUUGCUGUUUUGACGGUACCAACAGAAUAAGCACCGGCUAACUUCGUG
rnacentral:rRNA from 1 species